GGAUGUGAGGGCGAUCCGUUGAUCACCAGGGUUGAUUAGGCUGAUCUGGCUGGCUAGGCCCGUGUUCCCUUGCUCCCUCACCGCUCUGCCCCUCCUGAAGCUGUGCACUUACUUGGUCGAAGAGGACAACCAUCCCUGGUAGAGGAGGAUUAGUCGCUCUGCUGCUAGAACCUCCAAAGAUAAUAACUUGCCUUAAGUUGAUCCACAAGUUGUUUCACUAGCAUCACCUGAGCCAGAAGCUUUCUUGUAGCU
rnacentral:sRNA from 1 species